rnacentral:tRNA from 1 species
GGGCUUUUCGCGUAGCUCAGCCUGGUAGAGCACUGCCUUCACACGGCAGGGGUCACUGGUUCAAUCCCAGUCGCGCCCACCA